CCUACGAGUGGCAGCAGUGGGGGAUAUUGCACAAUGGGGGGAACCCUGAUGCAGCGACGCCGCGUGGGUGAAGACGCGCCUCGGCGCGUAAAGCUCUGUUAGCAGUGAAUUGACGGUACCUGAAGAAGAAGCCCCGGCUAACUACGUGCCAGCAGCCGCGGUAAGACGUAGGGGGCAAGCGUUAUCCGGAUGUACUGGGUGUAAAGGGGGCGCAGGUGGGGAUGCAAGCCGGGAGUGAAAGCCCGGGGCCCAACCCCGGGACUGCGCUUGGAACUGGGUGGCUGGAGUGCAGGAGGGGCAGGCGGAAUUCCUGGUGUAGCGGUGAAAUGCGUAGAUAUCAGGAGGAACACCGGUGGCGAAGGCGGCCUGCUGGACUGCAACUGACGUUGAGGCCCGAAAGCGUGGGGAGCAAACAGGAUUAGAUACCCCUGUAGUC
rnacentral:rRNA from 1 species